UACGGAGGGUGCAAGCGUUAUUCGGAUUCACUGGGCUUAAAGGGUGCGUAGGUGGUUUGGUAAGUCCGUGGUGAAAUCUCCGAGCUUAACUCGGAAACUGCCGUGGAUACUAUCAAUCUUGAAUACUGUGGAGGUAAGCGGAAUAUGUCAUGUAGCGGUGAAAUGCUUAGAUAUGACAUAGAACACCGAUAGCGAAGGCAGCUUGCUACACAGUCAUUGACACUGAGGCACGAAAGCGUGGGGAGCAAACAGG
rnacentral:rRNA from 1 species